rnacentral:rRNA from 1 species
CCUGAGAAACCCGAAAGAUCGAAUGGGGAGAUUCAUCGUCAGCGAUUUUGGUACGUGUGCGGUUCGGGAUGCCGGUGACUUCGGUCACUCGACACUCGUCUGCAUGUUUAUUAUUGCCUGAAUCGUCGGCGUGCACUUCUCCCCUAGUAGGACGUCGCGACCCGUUGGGUGUCGGUCUACGGCUCGGAUGGUAGCCUGUCUCGCGUGCGUCUCACGGCGUCUCGCGGGUCAGACCUUCGAUCGCCCGACCGGCUGCUCGGCGGUACUCGCACGGUAUCUGGCCGCAAAUAUUUGAACUGCGUCCGGCCCGUCGCAAGCGAGGCAAGUGUCCCGGCUGUACGGAUUUAAUGCCGUCGCCGGGCCUUGACAGCUGUUGGUUGACGGUGUCCUGGGACUGGCCAACAAAAUUAUGAUACCGGUCGGCGACGCUACUGCUUUGGGUACUUUCAGGACCCGUCUUGAAACACGGACCAAGGAGUCUAACAUGUGCGCGAGUCAUUGGGAACUAUUAAACCUAAAGGCGCAAUGAAAGUGAAGAUCGGCCUUGCGCCGACCGAGGGAGGAUGGGCCGCGUUACGAUGCGGUCUCGCACUACCCGGGGCGUCUCGUUCUCAUUGCGAGAAGAGGCGCACCCAG